UCAAUUUUGUAUAGUGGUAUCAUGCAAGAUUCCCAUUCUUGUGACCUGGGUUCGAUUCCUGGCUGGUGCA
rnacentral:tRNA from 1 species